GAGGGUAUAGCUCAGUGGUAGAGCUCUGGCUUAGCAUGCAUGAGGCCCUGGGUUCAAUCACCAGUACUGCCA
rnacentral:tRNA from 1 species